ensembl:lncRNA
GGUGCAAAGCAGCUUGAUGGAAGCAGCCCAGAUGACCAUGGGAUUCAUGAGCAUCUGUGGGAGCGCUUUUUUGAUGCUGCUAUGGUGAUGGGGUGUGAAGGGAAGGUGAGAACUGUGUAUGGCGAGGAAGUAAAAGUGGGGUAGAGGCAAAUGAGGACCAAUGGGAGACCUGGGUGCCAACAAAAUCAGGUGUUGAGUGGGGCGGUGCACAGGAUCACGGGUGGUAUGGUAUGAGCUGGGGACAUGGAAAGACCCAGCAGUAGAUAAGGACAGUACCAAUAUUAAAUGAGGAAUGGAAUAGCGUAGUGAUCUCAGCUUCUGUGACACUUUGUCAUUGUGGGCCCAGCUGGUUUAAAUUGCCCUGACAGUGUUCUAUUGCAUCAGCUAUGAGGGCUGCUCUGAAAGUAAUGCCUCCUGUUUCAUGAUGUCAGCCCACAACGUCAGGUAGAUGUUGGUAGGAUGGCAGUAGAGGUUGAACCUUCCCACCAGUAUCCCGUUACAUUUUGUUGCUGUGUGACAGAUGGUAGCAGAGGGACAGUUGUACAGAAUGGCAUCUGAUAUGGAAGUGAAAAUGAAAGUAAGGUGUGGACCUUACUUUCCUCCUUGUGGAACAGCUGGUACCCAUUGACAUCCACGGAUGCUUUCUGCACAUUUAUGAAAUCCAAACAGUGGAUGUGAGCAGAGUCAGAGGUGAGUGGUGUGUUGCAGCAGUGGCAACAGUGAUACGAAAGACAAGUGAUGUUCCAGACAGCCAUGCACAGCUGUCACACCACAAAAUGAAAAGAGUACUGGUCAGCUCAUCUGCACAAAUCAGCUAAUGGUGGUGACUAUGUUGAAAAGUCGUGAUUUGUAGCUGAGAAUUUCCUCUGUCAAAUAGGGUUAUUGUGCUCUUUGUAUCUGUUGUAGUUUCUGUGGAAAUAAAUAGGAGGCAUUACUUUCAGAGCAACCUGUAUAGAAUCCAGUAGCUGGCCAUGGAGCCAAAGCAAAGCCCUGAGGUGUGUGGGGAAGGAGUGCUCUGCCCAUCAGCUCUGGAACUGCUAGUGCAUUCCAGCGACUUUCCUUCUCUUAGGCACUGCAGGACUGUGGUGGCGUGUACUGGACUGUGGGUAGAGCUAAUCCACUACUUUCUCUUAACAGGGCUUCACCUUGCGUUGAGUUCCCUCCAGACUCUGGGAAGGGUUGUCACAGUCAGAAAUAGGGCACUUGGUGGGUGUCUGGCAGGGGUGAAUGUCCAUUUUGCUCCCACUGCUAACUCCAGUUAAGGUCUGGACAGCAAAGUACCACAAACUCCACCAUGAACAAAGAAGGAGAGCUGCAUUUCUCCAGUACAGAAAUCCACAAGCUGCUGUCUGAGCUCUGCAUUUAGUCCACAUGAAAGUGUCACAGCCCAAGGGCAUCUGUUCAAAGAGAUGUGGAGAAUUCUGGCUUCCCAGGAUCCUCCCCUGUGUCUGCCAUGCCAGGCUGCAUCGGAUAUGUGGUGCCUGGCAACAGUAAGAAGGCAAAAUGGGAAUGGUUCCCUUUGUACCAGUGACCUGAGAACAGUGGGCUGCAGUGUGGUACUGCUCCAGCUCUGUCAGAAUGCCAGAACUUUUCAUCUGCAUUUUGAGGAAUCUGCUAAAACCAGAGCAAGAAACAAACAUCAGGAAUACUGGUAAGGCUGUUCUGCAUGAAACAGUGUCCUGCCACACACAGCAUUUCUGGGGCACCAGAUGCCUUGCAAGGAAGACCAGGAGCAAAGGCAGACAUGUCUUUAAUCACCUGUCAUCCCUCGAUCCCUGAUGGUGCUACCCAGAGGGCUGCCCCAGUCCCUCUGCUCCCCAGUCAUCACACCUCAGCCCAGCCUUGGAGGCAUUUAGUUGCAUGCUACAAUAAGCUGCCCCCAGCAGCCUCCUGAGCAGCUGUGCCUCUGUUUCUCUGCCAUUUGGCAGAGUCCAGUUAUCACAGGGUGGAGGAGAAUGAGGUGCUCUUAUGUGGGAGCAAGGUGAGUGAGAGCUCCUGCUUGAAGUGGGCUUGGGCUGUAGCAGGCCAGCCACAGGCUGGCUGGGAGCACUGUGGAAACAAAGAUACUUGAUUUAAAAAGCUGUGGGGAUAAGGAGUUUGUAACCACAACACAACCACAGGCACCUGAGCAUCAGGCUUCCAACAUCCAUGGAACACCAGAUGCUUUAGGGGAGACUUCUCCCAAGGCAAUAACUGUCCAAGGGGCAAUCUCACGUGAAGCACACCCUGGAUUUGAAGUACUUACUCUGCUCUCCAAGGAGGGGCCCGAUGAAAGGAUCACCACAAGGACCCAAUCAGGACAGGGUCCCAGGUAUUUACAUCGUGUCACCAAAAGAGGUGAUGGGAGAAAUCUGUAUCUCACCUGUGCUCGUUAGCCCCUCUCUUCCUACAGCACUACCUCCAGAACUACCCCAGGACUGGGCUGGAGCCAGUCCAGCCUUUUCUUUCUGCCAACCACAAAUUUAAAAACCAUAUCCUCCUUCCUAUCAUCCAGGACACUGGUGAAAACUCUGAGUAGAACUGGACCCAAGAAACCACUACAAGCUCUGCUUCCUAUGUUCUUCUCUAGCAACGAUUUGUACCCUGAGAUCUGCUCUCUCAGUAUGGUUUUUGAUCAUCCCAAUAGUGUUGUAUCCCAUUCCUCUAAUCUCUAAAGACUAUCUAUAUGGGACAAAGUCUAAAGCCAUUUUCAAGUCAAAAUAGCUGAUACCAACUCUCUUUUGCUGUCUGUUAAUCCUAGUGCAGAUAAAAAUUAGGUUGGCCUGUCAUAAUUUGUCUUGGAAAUAAACAAAAAAACCAAAAACAUGUUCAUAGCUUCUCAUCCCAUUAGCUCACAACAUACAGCCUGCAAUUUUAUUAAGGAUUGUUCUGUGUACUGAGCUACAUGUAGAACUCAUCAGUAACUGGGUCAAAAAAUAAGUCCAUCAGACAACAGAUGCCUAAGGAAAGCAUGUAAGGACAGGGAAGAGUAAAUUAUACUUCCUCCAACACGUAGCCUCUGGCAGUUUUCAGCUUAGAUACUUUGUCAGCAAAAUUCAGUGUCUUUGUAUCUCGAGUCCUUAUUUUCCAUGAAUUUGUCUAAUCUCUAUGUGAAUGCAUAUAAAAUAUUAUCGUCCACAGUGUACUGUGGCAAAGAGUUCCACGGACAAAUAGUGUUGUGUGAACCACCUCUCUGUGUUAGGUUUGAAUCUUCCUUAUGGCAGUUCCAUCUGAUAUUCCCUGCCCCUUUUAUGUGAAGAUACCAUCAACAGAUAUUUCAUCCUUGCCCUCCCCAUGAUACCCGUGACUUUACGUAUCCAUAGGUCAUCUCUUGCCUUGUUUUAUAGUUGUUACUGGCAAAGAUGCCACUCAGCACCCUUGAUUAUCUUCAUUGGCCUUUUCUG